rnacentral:rRNA from 1 species
GAUGAACGCUGGCGGCGUGCCUAAUACAUGCAAGUCGAGCGAACAGAUGAGGAGCUUGCUCCUCUGACGUUAGCCGCGGACGGGUGUGUAACACGUGGAUAACCUACCUAUAAGACUGGGAUAACUUCGGGAAACCGGCGCUAAUACCGGAGAAUAUAUUGAACCACAUGGUUCAAUAGUGAAAGUCGGUUUUGCUGUAACUUAUAGCUGCAUCCGAGCCGCAUGAGCUAGUUGGUAAGGUAACGGCUUACCAAGGCAACGAGGCGUAGCCGACCUGAGAGGGUGAUCGGCCACCCGGGAACGGAGACACGGUCCAGACGCCUACGGGAGGCAGCAGUAGGGAAUCUUCCGCAAUGGGCGAAAGCCUGACGGAGCAACGCCGCGUGAGUGAUGAAGGUCUUCGGAUCGUAAAACUCUGUUAUUAGGGAAGAACAAAUUUGUAAGUAACUAUGCACGUCUUGACGGUACCGAAUCAGAAAGCCACGGCUAACUACGUG